rnacentral:misc_RNA from 1 species
GAUGAAGAACGUAGCGAAAUGCGAUAAGUAAUGUGAAUUGCAGAAUUCAGUGAAUCAUCGAAUGUUUGAACGCACAUUGCGCCCGCUAGUAUUCUGGCGGGCAUGCCUGUCCGAGCGUCAUUUCAACCCUCAAGCUCCCGGGCUUGGUGUUGGGGAUCGGCGAGCCUCCGCGCCCGCCGUCCCCUAAAUCUAGUGGCGGUCUCGCUGUAGCUUCCUCUGCGUAGUAGCACACCUCGCACUGGGAAACAGCGCGGCCACGCCGUUAAACCCCCAACUUCUGAACGUUUGACCUCGGAUCAGGUAGGAAUACCCGCUGAACUUAAGCAUAUCAAUAAGCGGAGGA